rnacentral:rRNA from 1 species
CUUGGUCAUUUAGAGGAAGUAAAAGUCGUAACAAGGUUUCCGUAGGUGAACCUGCGGAAGGAUCAUUAUCGAAAUUAUUGGUGAGGGUUGUAGCUGGCCUUUCGAGGCAUGUGCACGCUCGAGCCCUUAAUCCACUUUACACCUGUGCACUUAAUGUAGGUCGCCCUUAAAAAAGGUGACCUAUGUCUUAUCAUCAACCCAUCGUAUGUCUCAUAGAAUGUAAUCGAUAUCCUCGCCCUAAAAAAGCGUUGAUAAACUUAUACAACUUUCAACAACGGAUCUCUUGGCUCUCGCAUCGAUGAAGAACGCAGCGAAAUGCGAUAAGUAAUGUGAAUUGCAGAUUUUCAGUGAAUCAUCGAAUCUUUGAACGCACCUUGCGCUCCUUGGUAUUCCGAGGAGCAUGCCUGUUUGAGUGUCAUUAAAUUCUCAACUCCAAGGGUUUCACGACCUUUCGGAGAUUGGACUUGGAGGUGCUGGCCGCAUAUUGGUCGGCUCCUCUCAAAUGCAUCAGCGGAAUUCAACCUUUGGCUUCCGGAUGUCAGUGUGAUAAUCAUGUUGCGCUGUCGUUUGAUCCCUCAGAGUCCGCUUAUAAUGGUCUUCGGACAAAAUCAUCAUCAAAUUUGACCUCAAAUCAGGUAGGACUACCCGCUGAACUUAAGCAUAUCAAUAAGCGGANGA